rnacentral:rRNA from 1 species
GACGAACGCUGGCGGCGUGCCUAAUACAUGCAAGUCGAGCGAAGUUUUUCUGGUGCUUGCACUAGAAAAACUUAGCGGCGAACGGGUGAGUAACACGUAAAGAACCUGCCCCAUAGACUGGGACAACUAUUGGAAACGAUAGCUAAUACCGGAUAACAGUAUUUCUCGCAUGAGAGAUAUUUAAAAGUUGGUUAUGCUAACACUAUGAGAUGGCUUUGCGGUGCAUUAGCUAGUUGGUGGGGUAAAGGCCCACCAAGGCGACGAUGCAUAGCCGACCUGAGAGGGUGAUCGGCCACACUGGGACUGAGACACGGCCCAGACUCCUACGGGAGGCAGCAGUAGGGAAUCUUCCGCAAUGGGCGAAAGCCUGACGGAGCAACGCCGCGUGAGUGAAGAAGGAUUUCGGUUCGUAAAGCUCUGUUGUUAGGGAAGAAUGGAUAUGUAGUAACUAUACA